GAGUUUGAUCGUGGCUCAGAGCGAACGCUGGCGGCAUGCUUAACACAUGCAAGUCGCACGGUCAGCAAUGGCAGUGGCGGACGGGGUGAGUAACACGUAGGAAUCUAUCUCUGGGUGGGGGACAACAGUGGGAAACUACUGCUAAUACCGCAUGAUACCUGAGGGUCAAAGGCGUAAGUCGCCUGGAGAGGAGCCUGCGUCUGAUUAGCUUGUUGGUGGGGUAAAGGCCUACCAAGGCUACGAUCAGUAGCUGGUCUGAGAGGAUGAUCAGCCACAUUGGGACUGAGACACGGCCCAAACUCCUACGGGAGGCAGCAGUGGGGAAUAUUGGACAAUGGGCGAAAGCCUGAUCCAGCAAUGCCGCGUGUGUGAAGAAGGUCUUCGGAUUGUAAAGCACUUUUGGCAGGGACGAUGAUGACGGUACCUGCAGAAUAAGCCCCGGCUAACUUCGUGCCAGCAGCAGCCGCAGUAAC
rnacentral:rRNA from 1 species